rfam:Nomascus leucogenys chromosome 6, whole genome shotgun sequence.
GCUGGGUGUGGUGUUUCACCCCUGUAAUUCCAGCUACUGGGGAGGCUGAAGUAGGAGAAUCGCUUGAACCCGGGAGGUGGAGGUUGCAGUGAGCUGAGAUCAUGCCACUGCUCUCCAGCCUGGGCGACAGAGCAAAACUCUGUCUUAAUAAUAAUAAUUCACUAAUAAACUUUUUUUUUUUUUUUUGAGACGGAGUCUUGCUGUGUCGCUCAGGCUGGAGUGCAGUGGCAUGUUCUCAGCUCACUGCAACCUCCGCCUCCCGGGUUCAAGCGAUUCUUCUGCCUCAG